ensembl:lncRNA
CCAUAGACCCAGGACCCUGACAAUAGAACCUGACCAUAGACCCAGGACCCUGACAAUAGAACAUGACCAUAGACCCAGGACCCUGACAAUAGAACCUGACCAUAGACCCAGGACCCUGACAAUAGAACCUGACCAUAGACCCAGGACCCUGACAAUAGAACAUGACCAUAGACCCAGGACCCUGACAAUAGAACCUGACCAUAGACCCAGGACCCUGACAGUAGAACCUGACCAUAGACCCAGGACCCUGACAAUAGAACCUGACCAUAAAUCCCAGACCAUAGACCCAAGAUCCAGACCAUAGACCCAAGACCCUGACAAUAGAACCCAAACAUAAAUCCCAGACCAUAGACCCAAGACUCUGCCAAUAGAACCAGACCCAAGCCCCAGACCAUAGACCCAAGCCCCAGACCAUAGACCCAAGCCCCAGACCAUAGACCCAAGCCCCAGCAUUUCUCUACUACCCAGCACAGAGCUCAGCUUUUAUCCCCUCUUUAAUCCGGAAUCAAUAAUCAAGUAUCCACUUCUGCAUUGAUACAGUUCUGCUCUCUUUACUCCAGUCAUGGUACUGGACUAACUGUAUGUCACCUGCUCAGGGUGGUCUAUCUGUGAAGAACCAGGACUGAUAGUACCUGAUUGUUCAGACUGGACCAGCACCAUGUUGUAUGUUGUUCUGACUGGACCAGUAUCAUGUUGUUCUGACUGGACCAGUACCAUAUUGUUCUGACUGGGCCAGUACCAUGUUGUUCUGACUGGACCAGUACCAUGUUGUAUGUUGUUCUGACUGGACCAGUACCAUGUUGUUUGUGGUUGAGUGGCACAUUGGACCAGGUUUAAGUCAUGAUAGCAGUGUUCAACCUUUAUAACUAGAGAGGUUAUAAAGGAGCUAGGUAUGCUAAAUGUAAUGAUUAUCUAGGUAGGCCAGAUGUAAUGAUUAGCUAGGUAGGCCAGAUGUAAUGAUUAGCUAGGUAGACCAGAUGUAAUGAUUAGCUAGGUAGGCCAGAUCUAAUGAUUAGCUAGGUAGGCCGGAUCUAAUGAUUAGCUAGGUAGGCCAGAUCUAAUGAUUAGCUAGGUAGGCCAGAUGUAAUGAUUAGCUAGGUAGGCCGGAUGUAAUGAUUAGCUAGGUAGGCCGGAUGUAAUGGCUAGCCAGGUAGGUAGGAAGCUGUAACAUAGUUACCACUGAGGUGCAGUAUCCCAGCUAUGAUCCAUUUGUUCCACAUCUCUUAACAGGGUUGUUGAGAAGGCAUUGAUGGUUCUUCAACAUCUCUCAGCAGGGAUAAUGAGAAGGCAUUGGUGUUUAUUCCACUUCUCUUAGCAGGGAUAUUGAGAAGGCAUUGGUGUUUAUUCCACUUCUCUUAGCAGGGAUAUUGAGAAGACAUUGGUGUUUGUUUGACUUCUCUUAGCGGUGUUCAUAAGGCAUUGGUGUUUGUUUCAAAUAUCUUAGUCGGAUUUUUAAUUAAGGCAUUAGUGUUUGUUCCACAUCUCUCUGCAGGGUUGUUCAUAAGGCAUUGGUUGUAGAUUGUGGUAAGCCAUGUAACUUUAUUUAACUGUACCUAACUAUGUUAUAUGGUUGAUAUCAGAGGAAGGAACAGGCGCCAAACAGCAAUAAUAAUGUAGGAUCAAGUCUCAGGUGACAGUUAGUAGAUGAUAUUGUAAUAGAUUGUAUGUGAUAGGUGAUCCUUAGCUCAGGGCUGUCUAGCCGGCUGGACAGAUGCACUGCCGCUUUCUAGUCAGUGGCAGACAGACAGGCUUUUUAAAUAGCUAUAUUUUUAAAGACUGAGAGUAGUUGUUGUAUAUGAUGCCAACUUGCCUUGGCUGGUUUGACGCUCAGGUUCAGUUGUAGAAAGUGUGUAUGUGCGUGCGUGCGCGAUAGCAAUAUAAUGUCCACAAGGUGGCGGCAGCUACUCUGGGUUAUGUUGCCCUGUGUUAGUGUUGUUUCAUAAUUAGUGUUCCAAAGAGCACUCUUUUCCCUAUAUACUGUACUACGUUAGACAUCGGUCUAAAGGGCCAUGGUCAAAAGCAGGGCGCUAUUUUGGUAAUAGGUCGCCAUUUGUGACACUUCUUUUGGUCUGAUAGGAUAAGGAUUGUUUUCUUCUUAGUUAAUCAUCUCAUCACAGUCUUGUUUACACCUUUGUGUAAUCUUCUUUAAAAAGGGAUACUGCAUCUCAUGUAACUAUAUACCCUAGGAUCCUUUUUCCCUGGUCUGUGUUUCCAUGUUUGUGUAAAGCGUUUGUUUUACUUCAGAUUAUGGCCAGUGGGGAUUGAAGGUUAACAGAUGAGGUCAAACGUUUGUAUGAAACUCUGUCUUCAGUUAAAUUAAUGAAGGUCAGAAGGUUAAGGAAUACAACCAGAGACAUAAAGACCACAAGUAGACUGAUGCUCCUGUUCUAACAGACCUCUUUUUAGUGUUACCAGCCAGUCUGUCUAAGUAUUCAUGUUGUAUGACCUCUAACCUGUAGUAUGUUCUGACCCCUGUCACAUGACCAGUGUGUGAACCUCGAAGCUGUGGGUGAUUUAAUAAUGAUGUAAUUCAGGAUAUCUCUUGUGUUGGUUGACCACGGUCUGUAGUCCACAGUCCAAUCAGUAUAGAAUACCAAUAACCCUUGAGUCCCAAAUGGCACCCAGUUUCCUUUAUAGUCCACUACUUUUGACCAGGGCCCUAUGGGGUGCAAUUUGGGAUUCAGCCUGGCCCUGACUCCUGUUGUCUGUUCCAGCCAGUCCUCCUUUAGUGUGUUUACGCAGAAAAACGUGUCAUUUAUGGGAAUCAGAUGACACUCUUAUGAUACGAGUGAAUAACAAUGUCUUACUGGCAACAAAUCCUGUCAACUAUGAUUAUUUUUCUUGCUUUUUUUGUAGCUGGCCUACAUGAUUAUUGAAUUAAUUUAUUGUCAAUGUCCUGUCCUGGAAAGUUAAGUUCUUUUUAAUUUCAGGCAGCUUUAGAAUGGUUGUUUCUCUUGUCUUUAUGAUUUCUCUUUAAAAUAAGUAUUAUUUGACAUAAAGAAAGCACAACUGUAUAAUGAGUGAAGGAAUUCCUUGUAAGGAAUGGUGAUCAGAGGUAUUAUUGUCAUAAUUCUUUGGGUUUUGUAAAAUUUGUUGAUCAGUCUUGGGUGUGUAUGGUUGAACAAUCUAACUAUUGUAUUCUCUUUCUGCUCUGGGAAGCUAUAGGAAUCUGCUGGAAAGUAUUCAAGCAUUCAAACAGAUUCAACAUGAUUGCACUUUUGAUAAACAUUAGGAAAAAGCUCAGACUUUGUAUAUAUUUCUUUCAUUCUGUCUUUUUUGCUCUUCUUUAUCAAGGGUGCUUCUGAAUCAACUUAAUAUACAGUGCUGUGAGGAUACCACCUAAAAUCUUGUAUUGUUCCUCAUUUUGACACGUGGUGUCUUUUUUCCGCACUAAUGAGGGAUAAAGGUAUCCUGACUGAAUAAAAAACACUGACAAAAUUACACUAAUAUACUACUGCUAGCAAUCAUACACACAUAUAUGUAUAUGUGUAUAUAUGUAUAUGUAUAUAUAUAUAUGUGUGUAUAUGUGUAAUUUAAAUAAACUGAACCGCAUGUUCCUUAUGCAAAGUUAAUGCAUCAGUCUUUAUCAUCCCAUCAAAUGGCUGAAAGUAGAAUCAUUAUAGAAUGGCAGAAUCUAAAUCCAGAUUAUAAUACUCUGGAAAUGUUGUGGGGGGCUUGAAGAGGCCAUACAAAAAAUACCUCAAGAAUUACAUUCAAAGGAGUGUUGUAAAGAGGGUGGGGCAUAACAAACUUGAGGAGUAGAAAAGGUGAUGUAGGUUUCUUACAGUUACAAGACAAACUACUAGGUUUUAAGGUUAGCUUAAGGAUAGAGGUGGAUUUAUUUUGUUAUGGGGGAAAAGAAACCUCUUUCCUGUGAUAUACUUCUUCAGCCCAAACUAUAUAGCCAUGUUGUACUUCCUCUGGGCAAACUAUAUAGCCAUGUUGUACUUCCUCUGGGCAAACUAUAUAGCCAUGUUGUACUUCCUCUGGGCAAACUAUAUAGCCAUGUUGUACUUCCUCUGGGCAGUCUCAGGAGGAGCAGUCAGUGGAAAUAGUAGCUGGCCUUCCUCUGCUGUCCAUCCACAGCUAGAACCAGGGUCUCAAACCCACUCUGAACAGCAAGGGUGCUGCCGACCCAUUUCGCCACCAUAGUUUGUCAGAAUUUUCUUUUUCCGCUAUUCCUCCUAGGGCCCACAAUAUAACCCUCCCUGUUCAUGGCACAUAUCAUUGGAUUUUCCAAGCUUGAAAUCAAGCUGCCACUGAAUAUGUCUGAGCAGUGUUAUUACCUGAGAGUAUGCAGGAAUGCAGCUUUGGAUUGAAUGACAGUUCCAUGGCAGAGAAGGUUUAGAGAGACUUGGUCUCAGAACAGAUUAAUAUCAGACCAUUCUCCUCUGGAUCCAACUCCCUGUCUCUCACUAUCCCAAGGUACCAGUGACAUUUGAGUUUCUGUGUCUUUCACGGUAAACCACCUCCUCAGCCAUACAUACCCAGGGUUUGUUUCUUUGUCUUCUCUUGAAUGGCAUUAUGAUCAACCAAUCCUCUCAUUUUCCUGUAUUAUCCAGUGUACCAUAGUGUGCAAUGGGCACCAGGAAAAAUAAAAUCUAAGCAAACUGCUGCAUGGAAUAAACACUGAUGUACCAACA